rnacentral:rRNA from 1 species
GAUGAACGCUGGCGGCGUGCUUAACACAUGCAAGUCGAACGAAGCACUUUAUUACAAUUUCUUCGGAAUGACGAUUUAGUGACUGAGUGGCGGACGGGUGAGUAACGCGUGGGUAACCUGCCUUAUACAGGGGGAUAACAGUUGGAAACGACUGCUAAUACCGCAUAAGCCCACGGCUCGGCAUCGAGCAGAGGGAAAAGGAGUGAUCCGCUUUGAGAUGGCCUCGCGUCCGAUUAGCUAGUUGGUGAGGUAACGGCCCACCAAGGCGACGAUCGGUAGCCGGACUGAGAGGUUGAACGGCCACAUUGGGACUGAGACACGGCCCAGACUCCUACGGGAGGCAGCAGUGGGGAAUAUUGGCACAAUGGGGGAAACCCUGAUGCAGCGACGCCGCGUGGAGGAAGAAGGGUCUUCGGGAUUGUAAACUCCUGUUGUUGAGG